UGUCUCUGUGUGUGUGUGUCUCUCUGUGUGUGUCUGUGUGUCUGUGUGUGUCUGUGUGUGUGUGUGUCUGUGUGUGUGUGUGUCUGUGUGUGUGACAGACCUCUGUGAUGGGCUCCCCAUUGCCUACGGAAAGAAGCCCACACCCCCAGCCCACUUCUUCUGUGUGUGGCUGUUGUUCCUCAGGUUCUGUGCACACCAUUUUUGUCUCCUGUCCCAUCUCACCUUCUCUGGUCCUGGCACCUUUGCACAUGUGAUUUCUUCCACCUGGAACGCCA
rnacentral:lncRNA from 1 species